GACGAACGCUGGCGGCGUGCUUAACACAUGCAAGUCGAACGGAAAGGCCCUGCUUUUGUGGGGUGCUCGAGUGGCGAACGGGUGAGUAACACGUGAGUAACCUGCCCUUGACUUUGGGAUAACUUCAGGAAACUGGGGCUAAUACCGGAUAGGAGCUCCUGCUGCAUGGUGGGGGUUGGAAAGUUUCGGCGGUUGGGGGUGGACUCGCGGCUUAUCAGCUUGUUGGUGGGGUAGUGGCUUACCAAGGCUUUGACGGGUAGCCGGCCUGAGAGGGUGACCGGCCACAUUGGGACUGAGAUACGGCCCAGACUCCUACGGGAGGCAGCAGUGGGGAAUAUUGCACAAUGGGCGGAAGCCUGAUGCAGCAACGCCGCGUGCGGGAUGACGGCCUUCGGGUUGUAAACCGCUUUCGCCUGUGACGAAGUGUGAGUGACGGUAAUGGGUAAAGAAGCACCGGCUAACUACGUG
rnacentral:rRNA from 1 species